UACGUAGGGGGCUAGCGUUGUCCGGAAUCAUUGGGCGUAAAGCGCGUGUAGGCGGUCCGGUAAGUCCGCUGUGAAAGUCGAGGGCUCAACCCUCGAAUGCCGGUGGAUACUGUCGGGCUUGAGUACGGGAGAGGCGAGUGGAAUUCCUGGUGUAGCGGUGAAAUGCGCAGAUAUCAGGAGGAACACCGAUUGCGAAGGCAGCUCGCUGGAACGUUACUGACGUUGAGACGCGAAAGCGUGGGGAGCAAACAGG
rnacentral:rRNA from 1 species